GCAGGCCUAACACAUGCAAGUCGAGCGGUAGCACAGAGAGCUUGCUCUCGGGUGACGAGCGGCGGACGGGUGAGUAAUGUCUGGGAAACUGCCUGAUGGAGGGGGAUAACUACUGGAAACGGUAGCUAAUACCGCAUAACGUCGCAAGACCAAAGUGGGGGACCUUCGGGCCUCAUGCCAUCAGAUGUGCCCAGAUGGGAUUAGCUAGUAGGUGGGGUAACGGCUCACCUAGGCGACGAUCCCUAGCUGGUCUGAGAGGAUGACCAGCCACACUGGAACUGAGACACGGUCCAGACUCCUACGGGAGGCAGCAGUGGGGAAUAUUGCACAAUGGGCGCAAGCCUGAUGCAGCCAUGCCGCGUGUGUGAAGAAGGCCUUCGGGUUGUAAAGCACUUUCAGCGGGGAGGAAGGCGGUGAGGUUAAUAACCUCAUCGAUUGACGUUACCCGCAGAAGAAGCACCGGCUAACUCCGUGCCAGCAGCCGCGGUAAUACGGAGGGUGCAAGCGUUAAUCGGAAUUACUGGGCGUAAAGCGCACGCAGGCGGUCUGUCAAGUCGGAUGUGAAAUCCCCGGGCUCAACCUGGGAACUGCAUUCGAAACUGGCAGGCUAGAGUCUUGUAGAGGGGGGUAGAAUUCCAGGUGUAGCGGUGAAAUGCGUAGAGAUCUGGAGGAAUACCGGUGGCGAAGGCGGCCCCCUGGACAAAGACUGACGCUCAGGUGCGAAAGCGUGGGGAGCAAACAGGAUUAGAUACCCUGGUAGUCCACGCCGUAAACGAUGUCGAUUUGGAGGUUGUGCCCUUGAGGCGUGGCUUCCGGAGCUAACGCGUUAAAUCGACCGCCUGGGGAGUACGGCCGCAAGGUUAAAACUCAAAUGAAUUGACGGGGGCCCGCACAAGCGGUGGAGCAUGUGGUUUAAUUCGAUGCAACGCGAAGAACCUUACCUGGUCUUGACAUCCACAGAACUUUCCAGAGAUGGAUUGGUGCCUUCGGGAACUGUGAGACAGGUGCUGCAUGGCUGUCGUCAGCUCGUGUUGUGAAAUGUUGGGUUAAGUCCCGCAACGAGCGCAACCCUUAUCCUUUGUUGCCAGCGGUUCGGCCGGGAACUCAAAGGAGACUGCCAGUGAUAAACUGGAGGAAGGUGGGGAUGACGUCAAGUCAUCAUGGCCCUUACGACCAGGGCUACACACGUGCUACAAUGGCAUAUACAAAGAGAAGCGACCUCGCGAGAGCAAGCGGACCUCAUAAAGUAUGUCGUAGUCCGGAUUGGAGUCUGCAACUCGACUCCAUGAAGUCGGAAUCGCUAGUAAUCGUAGAUCAGAAUGCUACGGUGAAUACGUUCCCGGGCCUUGUACAC
rnacentral:rRNA from 1 species